rnacentral:lncRNA from 1 species
GUGCAUCGGUGUUAUGAAACAUAUGGGGCCAGACUCGGAAGAUCCCAGCAGCAACACUAACAUUUCACCCCCAAGCCCCAGACAGGAGUCUAGCAUGGCUGUCCUCUGAGCAGCUCCACCCACCAACUGACUCAGAGUCAUACACCCACAGCCAAACAGUGGAUGGAGCUUGAGGAUUCUUAUGGAAGAAGAGGAGGAAGGAUUGCAGCCCCUAAGGGGAUAGGAACUCCACGAGAAGACCACCAGACUCAACUAACCUGGACUCUUGGGGCUCUCAGAGACUGAACCACCCACCACAGAGCAUACACAGGGUGGACAUAGGCUUCACUGCACAUACGUAGCAGAAAUGCAGCUUGGUCUUCAUGUGGAUCCUGAACGGGGGCUCUCCUAAAAGCUGUUGACUGUAUGGGGGAUAUGUAUGGGCUGCCUUGUCUGGCCUCAGUGGAGAGGAUGCAUCUAGCCCCCACACUCUCAGAAAAGAAGGGGAGGGGAAGGAUUGUGGGAGGGGGUGAUCAGGAGGGGGGCAGUGAGCGUGACGUAAAGCGAAUAAGUAAAAAUAAAUUUUAAAACAUG